AAUGGGUUUGAGUUAAUCUUUUACAAUUACGAGUGAAUUUGGAUAAACUUUUAGACUCAUAUUUCAGACCAGACUGAAUUUAAAUAUACAUAAAUUAUGUUAAUAUCAUACUUGACCUGAAUCUAACCCCACCCGACCUAACCGAUUAGCACUAAUUUAACCUGAAUCUAGCCCCGCCGACCUAGCUCAUUAGCACUAAGGGCCAGUUCUUCAUUGCUUUUGAAAAGUGCUUUUGAAAAAUGCCGUGGAAAAGUGAUUUUGAGAAGUGCUUUUGAAAAGUUUGGUUUAAAAUUUGAAUGUUAAGCAUUACUGUCAAAAAGUGCUUUUGAGAAAUAAAAUGUCCAUUUUAGACAUGUUAUUAUCAAGUAACAAAUAUGUAUUUAAAUAAUAUUUAAAUUAGUUAAUAUUAUUAUAUUUUAGUAAUAAUAUAAAAAAAAUUAUUAUAACUUGUUGUUAAUAUUUUAAUAUAUAAAAUAUAAAUUGUAAAUAUUUUUAAUUAAUAAAUAUUAAUUAUUUAUAAAAUUUAAUUAUAAUAUAUAAACUAUAUUUUAAAUAUUUAAAUAUAAUCAUUAAAUAUUUGUAAUUAAUAUUUUAAAAAAUAUUUUUUUAUUUUUAAUUAAUGAUUUUAACACAGUUGUAAUUAAACACCAAGAAAAAAAGAAAAAUACUAUGUUAUUGGAGGGAUGAAAAAGUAAUUAAACACCAAAAGUGUUUUUGGGAGAGGAAAAGCUAAAAUAUUUAGCUUCUACUUUUUAGCUCCUUUUCAGAAGUACUUUUGAAAAUUUAAAAAUUUCAGCCAAAAACAGUUCAUUCUUCAUUAUUUUUUUUUUAAAAGUACUUUUGAAGUCAAAUAUAUAUAUAUAUAUAUAUAUAUAUUUUAAGUAAGAAAGAACUGACCGUACCGACCUAACCCAUUAGCACUAAUUUGUCUAUUAGCAAUUAUUGUUAUCUCAUAUAUGUGUUGUCUCUUGAUCCACACUUUGUUUUCACUGUUCCAACUCUAUCUCUCUAAGCUCCCAAUAUGGCCAAUUCCCACCAACCGUUUGUUGCACUCAUCGUCGGCGUCACCGGCAUGGCGGGGUUGAGCCUAGCUGAAGCCUUGAAGAGCCCCAGUGCCCUCGGCGGUCCUUGGAAAGUUUAUGGCUCUGCUUCACGUCCCAUACCAACUUGGUUCCCUUCCUCGCUCCUCGAUAAAUACAUCGCUUUUGAUGCCACCGACGCCGGAAACACCGCUGAUACGCUCGCUCCAAUCUCCGGCGAAGUCACCCAUGUUUUCUGGGUGGCAAUCCAAGUUCGUGAAAGUGAACAAGUAAAUGUUACAGUUAACGCAACUAUGUUAUCCAACGUUCUCGAUGUUUUGAAGAGCGGCCCGGGCGGCAACGGAACCGGUUCAAGGCUCAGCCAUGUCACGGUUCAGAGAGGUACCCAACACUACAUGGGUCCGAUCCAUAAUCCGACGGAAUCGGGCCAGGGUCUCGAACCCCAUGAACCACCGUUUAGGGAGGAUUUGCCCCGCUUGCCUUACCCCAACUUUUACUACGCGCUAGAAGAUCUUUUGGAGUCAUACGCGCCAUCAUUGACCUACUCUGUGCACCGCUCGUCGAUCAUAAUAGGCGCGUCGUCGAGAAGCGUGUAAACGCGCUACUUACAUUAGCAGUGUACGCAUUGAUAUGUCGAUACGAGGGUUUACCGUUUCGAUACCCAGGUAGCCGGUACACAUGGGAGCAUUUUUGCGACAUGUCCGAUGCACGCGUGCUCGCCGAGCAGCAUAUAUGGGCCGCAGUGACUCCCAGUGCCAAGAACCAAGCCUUUAAUUGCACUAACGGCGAUAUGUUCACUUGGAAAAGCUUAUGGAAAAAAUUGUGCGACAUAUUUGAUCUCGAAUUUAUCCCUUCCGUGGAGUUGGAAAACUUUGAUUUUGUUGAGCUGAUGAAGGAGAAAAGCAAGGUAUGGGAUGAAAUAGUGGAAAUGCAUGGAUUGUUCAAGACGAAAUUGGAGGAAAUUACAUGUGCAGCAGCUCUUAACAACGUGUUACAUUUUGGGUUUCAACAUGUUUGUAGUAUGAAUAAGAGUAGAGAUUAUGGGUUCUUUGGGUAUGCAGAUACCCUCAAAAGUAUUCCCAUGUGGGUUGAGAGAUUGAGAGACAUGAAGAUUAUACCUUAAUCAUGUGGUUCAUGUAUUCCAUAUAUAUUUUAGAAAUAAAUCAUAUGGUUGUUACCUGAUCCUUCUUAUUGUGAUUGGGUUGUGUUCCUCUAUUUGAUUUGAUUUUCAAUUUUAAACCAAAGUCAAAGAGAAGCAAAUAAUAUAAAUGGGUAUGCAAAACCUAUCCUUGUGAGGGAAGGUUUUAGGGAUGAGAUUCUUGGUACUAAAAUAUAUUUAUAUAUUUACAUUUAAUUAAUCUAGCUUUAUUUUUUUUGUACUUUUAUAUUUGUUUAAUUUGAUUGUUUCAUAUUUUAUCUAAUCAUUAUCAAAUCCUUGAUUGCAUUGGUAUUAAGAGAUAGAAAAAGAAAAGAAAAAAAAAAGCACUCAAG
rnacentral:lncRNA from 1 species